AUGUGCUCUUCUUCACCCCUCCUGUAUGAACCAUACUAAUCACAGAUCAAACAUGAAGCUUAUGGUGAGGAAUAAUUGCAAAAGGCAGACACUAUCAACGGUUGAACACAUCGGAUUAGUUAGUUACCAUCAUCCCUAUUCUUUCCUUAAGGUGGAGUGGCAAAUAAGAUAUACAAGAUCUUUCAGUUCUGCAGAGGUGCAAACUUGGGGGGGUGGGGGGGAGUUUAUGGAAAUGCUAUCAACGGUUUAUUGGAGGACUGAACCAAACAUGCAGGUACUAUGGAGUGCUAACUGGCCACUAAAUCUGCACUGAGUUGGGGCAAUGAAAACUCCGAUCCUAUUACUUCUAAAGACAGACAGCCCAAUUGCUAGGAGUCUGUGUAUACAGGCCUUUGCUGAUUUAAGCUGGUGCUUCAGCAGAUAAGGAAUUACGACUCCAUGUCUGAGGCCUGCAUAACCAUUUCUGAUAUCAUGGUGUCUAUCUUAAAUAAAAAAUACAGCCAAUUGCAUUUCUCACUCAUCAAUGACACAACCUACCUGACAUAAUUCAUUUCAAACUCUCACUAACCUUAUACGAUAGAAUUUACGAAUGUGCUCAUCGAUUUGGUGCCCUCUCAUUAUUACUUACUGCAGGCACACAACACACAAAAGCGCAGAAACUUCAGGCCGCCAAGCAAAGCACGGGGCAUAUGGUGAGGACAGGAGACGAUACCUUGCGCCUCGCUGGAGCGCGCG
rnacentral:misc_RNA from 1 species